rnacentral:ncRNA from 1 species
AAGUAUUUGAUACUGAUUGAAAGUUGAUUAUACAAAAGAAAAAAAGUUUUUCGCUUUAAGAAGCUAAAGAUAUAACCGAGUAAGUAGUAGUUAAGGUAAUUACUUAACUAGCUUAAGCUCGUAGUCGAAACUGAGAGGUUGAUCGAUCACAUUGGGUCUGAAAAAACCCCCAAUACGUCUAGUACAGCAGUGAGGAAUAUUGGUCAAUGGCCUAACGGCCGAACCAGCCAUUUGGGGGAAUGAGGUAAAUUUUAGUCGGUUGUGUUGAAUUACCAAAUAAACGGCUAUGCCGUAUAAAAUUCUAGAUAGAUGAUUGAUAAUGACAGUUUUCUAUCUAUAUGUCUUGACCAAAUCUUGUGCCAGCAGUCGCGGUAAUACAAGGAAGACUAGUGUUAUUCAUCUUUAUUAGGUUUAAAGGGUACCUAGACAGUAUUUCUAGCCCCAAAAGGGAACAGACUUACUAGAGUUUUUUAUGUGAGAGGCAAAUAUUAGAACCAUUAGAGUAGAGAUAAAAAGUUGUCAUACUAAUGUGACGGAUAACGGCGAAGGCAAACCUUUAUGUAAUAACUGACGUUGAGGGACGAAGGCUUGGGGAGCAAAUAGGAUUAGAUACCCUAGUAGUCCAAGCAGACAAUUAUGAAUGUUAUAGAUUAAAAUAUUUGGUGUAUAAAUGAAAGUGUAAGCAUUCCACCUCAAGAGUAAUGUGGCAACGCAGGAACUGAAAUCAUUAGACCGUUUCUGAAACCAGUAGUGAAGUAUGUUAUUUAAUUCGAUGAUCCUCGAAAAACCUUACCACAAUUUGAAUGAUAUUUAUUUUAGGUUUAACUA